AUUGAACGCUGGCGGCAGGCUUAACACAUGCAAGUCGAGCGGGGUGAUGGUGCUUGCACUAUCACUUAGCGGCGGACGGGUGAGUAAUGCUUAGGAAUCUGCCUAUUAGUGGGGGACAACAUCUCGAAAGGGAUGCUAAUACCGCAUACGUCCUACGGGAGAAAGCAGGGGAUCACUUGUGACCUUGCGCUAAUAGAUGAGCCUAAGUCGGAUUAGCUAGUUGGUGGGGUAAAGGCCUACCAAGGCGACGAUCUGUAGCGGGUCUGAGAGGAUGAUCCGCCACACUAGGACUGAGACACGGCCCAGAGUCCUACGGGAGGCAGCAGUGGGGAAUAUUGGACAAUGGGGGGAACCCUGAUCCAGCCAUGCCGCGUGUGUGAAGAAGGCCUUAUGGUUGUAAAGCACUUUAAGCGAGGAGGAGGCUCUUUUGGUUAAUACCCAAGAUGAGUGGACGUUACUCGCAGAAUAAGCACCGGCUAACUCUGUGCCAGCCGCCGCAGUAA
rnacentral:rRNA from 1 species